rnacentral:rRNA from 1 species
UACGUAGGGGGGCAAGCGUUGUCCGGAUUCAUUGGGCGUAAAGAGCGUGUAGGCGGCCAGGUAGGUCGGUUGUGAAAACUGGGAGGCACAUCCUUCAGAGGUCGAACCGAAACCAUCUGGCCUAGAGUCCGGGAGAGGAGAGUGGAAUUCCUGGGUGGUAGCGGUGAAAUGCGCAGAUAUCAGGAAGAACACCCGUGGCGAAAGCGGCUCUCUGGAACGGUACUGACGCUGAGACGCGAAAGCGUGGGGAGCGAACAGG